GUUUUAAUAAUUUAAUUAAAAAUAUCAAUUUUGUAAAUUGAAUUUAGGAAGCUCCUUUAAAACU